rnacentral:snRNA from 1 species
UCUUCUGAGAAGGGUUCGA